GUGUGUGUGUGUGUGUGUGUGUUUGCGCGUGGACACACAUACACACACACAUUCUGGGUGUCUGGGUGUCUGGGUGUCCGGGUGUCCGGGUGUCCGGGUGUCCGGGGCUCUUGGGGAGGGAGAUUUUUCAGGCUCUGCGUCUGGUUGUGAGCGUGCCUCCCCGCCAGUGCCGGCUGCCGGAGAAGAAAGGGCUGCCCGGAGAGAUGCUGCACCCUGCGCCGCCCUGGGCUCUGAGGAUCGAGGGCGCGAAGAUCUAAAUCCACCCGGAUUGCGGCGCCGCCGGGUCCAGGCAUCCCCGCUAACGGGGCUCCGAGGCCACCCCACUCCUCGCACUCCCCGGGGGCUUCCCCAAGGCCACGCUUGCGAGCGCCCUCUUUUCAGGCGGCGCUGGGUGCCUCUUCGCCACGGACUGCGGAGCAGAGGGAGGUGUGGCCCGGUCCGGGCCGACAGGGUGGGAAUGCAGCGGGGAGCGGGCUGAAGGGUCCCCCUUUCUGAGCGCUAUGCUGGGUGUGCGUUGUGGAUUCUGCUCGCACAGGCACUACCCCCCCCCCCCCCCCCCCAAGGGAUGGGAAGGGAACUUUGCAGCUCCAUUAUCUGCCUCUGGGGCUUUAGGGAAAUGGUCUGUGUUCUGAAAUGUGAGGAUACCCUUCUUGGCUCCACCUUAAGGAGGAAGAGGGAGGUCUUGUGGGUGGACAGUGGGCUAAAGAACCCAAAUCCUCCCAGGCGAUGUGCGAUGCGCUUUAAAAACACAGUAUGUGUACAUCCUUGAUUUUUAAGUCCUCCCCCCCCCAUCCCCUUUGGAUUCUGUUGACUGAUGAAUGGUUUGGGCUGGCAAUUCAUAUUUCCCUCUCCAGCCAAGGUGGCAGUGGUUGGGUUAAGGGCAGAGUGAUCCCAUUUAACAAAGAAUUGUUUUAAAGAGAGCGAUGUGCACGGUGCCUGCAGUCCCUGGAAGGAGAGGCAUGCUCUGCACUAGGUGUAAAGGCUAAAAAGAGAAGAAAGGAUAUCAGAAGGAGGUGUGGUGGAAGAAGCUCUUUAAACAAUGGCAGCUGUGGCAAAGACAGUGCAGGCAUCUCGAUCAUGGAGGAGCUGGCAGAGUAGGAAGAGAUUCCGAUAUGAUCUGGUUGAAGACAGAGCUUGAGUCUCUCCAAAUAUGAGCAAGAGGACAUCCACACUCCAGCUUCCGUGUGAAGAUUUCCUCAGGGAAACCCUGGGAGCAACCAGCAGGGGAUUCACAAAGUCCACGAGAGUGUAGUAAGCAAGUAACCAGAUCGACAAAGGUUCAUGAGAAUCAUAUUUUCUCUUUGCCUGAAACUUCCUAGCUGGUUUCAGGAGAAGAAGAAGAAAAGUCCUGAGGUGAAGGAAACGUGUUCGUGGUCAAGGACAAGUACAUUACAGUCAGGACCGUGCCCUGGGAGCUGUGGAUCUGGAACAAAUGGUACCAUAAGCCAUCCCACAGAUGUAUUCUGCACGCGAACCCAAAAGAUAAUGUAGAAGGCUCCAGAGAUGUGCCUGUGUUUCUGGCCCUAGGACUCUCCAGAUGAAUAACAGUGAUUUCCCAUGGUGCAAAGAGAACUAUGACUUUGCUUCUAGAUCGAGGAUAUUGAUGAAUAAAAUGAAGGACCCUAGAGUACUCCAACUAGCAUUGUUUG